rnacentral:tRNA from 1 species
AUUUUUUUAGUAUAAGUUAGUAUAUUUGAUUUCCAAUCGAAAGGUCUAGAUUGUUAAUAGAAUAAAUA